CAGUCGCCACGGUAAAACAGAGGGUGCGAGCGUUAAUCGGAUUUACUGGGCGUAAAGCGUGCGUAGGCGGCUUCUUAAGUCGGAUGUGAAAUCCCUGAGCUUAACUUAGGAAUUGCAUUCGAUACUGGGAAGCUAGAGUAUGGGAGAGGAUGGUAGAAUUCCAGGUGUAGCGGUGAAAUGCGUAGAGAUCUGGAGGAAUACCGAUGGCGAAGGCAGCCAUCUGGCCUAAUACUGACGCUGAGGUACGAAAGCAUGGGGAGCAAACAGGAUUAGAUACCCCUGUAGUCCCUGUCUCUUAUAC
rnacentral:rRNA from 1 species